rnacentral:rRNA from 1 species
UACGUAGGGUGCAGGCGUUAAUCGGAAUUACUGGGCGUAAAGCGUGCGCAGGCGGUUUGCUAAGACAGGUGUGAAAUCCCCGGGCUUAACCUGGGAACUGCGCUUGUUACUGGCAAGCUUGAGUGUGGCAGAGGGGGGUGGAAUUCCACGUGUAGCAGUGAAAUGCGUAGAGAGUGUGGAGGAACACCGAUGGCGAAGGCAGCCCCUGGGCUAACACUGACGCUCAUGCACGAAGCGUGGGAGCAAACAGG